ACUUCCGGGGCCCGCGUCCCCCGGCGGCUUCGCCGAGAAGGGGCUUUGGGAGCUUAAGGGCGCCGGCACGCGUUCCCCUGGCGCAGAGCUCGCUAGCCGGGGCGCGGGCUGCCUCCUUGUUCUGGUGUGAUCCGAAUGUAACGGAGCGGACUUUGGGAUCCAGAACCCCGGACUGAGGUUGUGCUUGGCUUGAGGGGCGGGCUGGAUAUCCAGACAACUUGGAGCCAAGUCCCCACAGCUGGAUCAGACAACUUUUGGUGACAUCUCACAGUGUGGAUUAUCAAGCCAGUGUAUCAGUCUGGAGCCUAGGUUUUUUGCCUUUAGCUUUGCUCAGGAUGACUUCUGCUCUUCUAUGGCAAUACUUGAGAAGCUACAGCUUUGAUUAGACGAGAGGCUAUUUCAAUAACUUUCUCCUGAUAAGAAGACCACCGACCGUGGACGGAUUCUGGCCAGUUUACAAAGGCUGCAUACCAUAGGGCAGGGCACCCCACUAUGGCAAACACUAAUAAUGAUAUUGCUCCUGAUUUUGUUUCUGAAGGGAAUGCCUCUAAGAUUUCUUCAUUAAUUAUAAGAGACUGGGUCUCACUCUGUUGCCCAAGCUGGAGAACAGUGGCACCAUCAUAGCUCACUGCAGCCUUCAACUUCUGGGCUCAAGUGCUUCUCCCACCUCAGCCUCCCAAGUAGCUGGGACAACAGGUGAAAUUGAAGGCCAGCUUUUGGAACUCAACCUUCAAAGGAACUUAAAAUUUCCAUUAUGUAGAGUCCCUGAGGAAACUGGAUCCACUAGCUACACUGGCUGAGAAUGCUCUCACCCCAGGAUUUCAUUUUUAUUUUACCACAUCAUUGUUGGUAUCUUAAGAUCAAUGUACUGGAGCAGCGGGGUCUCACAAAGAGGAUACCUGGUGACACGCCCAGGCUUUCAGAAUGCACUAUAGGGCUUUAGUGACUUGUCCAGGUUCAGCUGAAAUGUGCCAUCUGGGACCUACUAAUGCUUGUUGAACUUUACUGGAUCUCAGAAGCUGGGUCUCAGAAGCUCAGAUGUUCCUCAGAGCUACGAUAUCAACAACCUGUGAUGACAGAGAGAAGGUUGCUCCAUGAUGGAUUUGGAAACUUACUGGCUAGCUAAACCUGACUGAAUGGGAAGGAAUGUGGAUAGCUUUGGAACUCUAGUUUCACUAGAUGAGCUGGAAUUUGUAUUUUGACAAAUUGCACGUUAUGAUUAUUAAGUAAUGCAACUGAUUUUUUUUUCCCUUAAAACAAACAAUCUAGAAUCUGUGUAAUCAAAAUAAUUUCUCUAAAAGGCUGCAAGUAUAUGCUUAAAGUGUUGGGGCAUUCAGAGCAUUUGGAACAUUACAUUCUUUUGAAUGUCAAUUGGUAGAUGAAAAUACCAGCUUUUAAGUCAUACAUUUGAUUUUUUGAAACAAUAUGCAUUUAGAGUUUGUAAGUCAAGUGAAUAACUGAUAAGGUAAAAAAAAGGGGGAGUUCAUUGUUGAGUAUGAAUUUAAAGUAACCAGACUGCCUUUUGUCCAGUGGCUGUCAGUAAUUUACUUCAGCAGGCAUUUUUUUUUUUUUGAGGCUGUUCUAUGAUAUCAUGACCCUUCUUGUAGGAAUGUGCUUCCAGUGGUGAGGCAGUCUGAGAAUGUGUGAAGCAGUAUAAUGAAGCCAGACCAAGAUGGAAGCUUGGCCUGGGAUUUGAGCAUCAGGAAAACUGUUGAAGGGUUAUGUAUACAUCACACACACACACACACACACACACACACACACACACACACACACACUCUCUUCCAUACUCCUAUAACAACGUAUAGUAUUUACUAUACCUGGUGACAGGUAUUUACUAUACAUUGUUGAAGAUCUAUAACAUGGAAUGCCUAGUGCUAAGUGCAGUGUCCUUAGUGAAAUUGUAUUGGUUUGGAAUUAUUUAUGAGUUUGGGAUUAUUUGUCACUACCCUUAAAUGAUCUUGACACUCACCUAUUUGAAAAGAUAUUGAGGAUUUGCCAUUUGAUAUUGACCAGGGUGUAUUGUGCACAAAUAUUGUGAAUAUACAUCUGUCUGUCCUUAAAUCACUGUAAGUUUUAACUGGAAUAGAUUUGCUCCACAUUACUCGGUAGGGCUGAUAUUUCAUGCCUCAUGGAUGAGAAAAGAAUAGGCAAAAAUUAUAUCUCGGGCUGCCUCACACAUCUUUUAACAGGAUAAGGGAAAAAUAAAUAUAAGACCUAUGAGUUAUGGCAUCAGGCUUGAACUUUAAUUUAUGAAUUAAACCAACAAUAUUAUUGAUUAUUGCAAUUAUCUAUCUUAAUUUCAUUUGUUCUCCUUUUAAAAAUUAAUUAUGUUUAUUUUACCUAUUGUGAAUAAAGUCAC
rnacentral:lncRNA from 1 species